GUUGACCCGCGGCGUUCACGGGAAUUGUUCGCUUUAGUGCCGGCGCCAUGGGGUCGGAGCUGAUCGGGCGCCUAGCCCCGCGCCUGGGCCUCGCCGAGCCCGACAUGCUGAGGUGAGUUCGGCCGCGCAAGACCAGGGCUGGGCUUCCGCCUCGCGGCCCUGGGCCCUCAGGAAAGCAGAGGAGUACUUGCGCCUGUCCCGGGUGAAGUGUGUCGGCCUCUCCGCACGCACCACGGAGACCAGCAGUGCAGUCAUGUGCCUGGACCUUGCAGCUUCCUGGAUGAAGUGCCCCUUGGACAGGGCUUAUUUAAUUAAACUUUCUGGUUUGAACAAGGAGACAUAUCAGAGCUGUCUUAAAUCUUUUGAGUGUUUACUGGGCCUGAAUUCAAAUAUUGGAAUAAGAGACCUAGCUGUACAGUUUAGCUGUAUAGAAGCAGUGAACAUGGCUUCAAAGAUACUAAAAAGCUAUGAGUCCAGUCUUCCCCAGACACAGCAAGUGGAUCUUGACUUAUCCAGGCCACUUUUCACUUCUGCUGCACUGCUUUCAGCAUGCAAGAUUCUAAAGCUGAAAGUGGAUAAAAACAAAAUGGUAGCCACAUCCGGUGUAAAAAAAGCUAUAUUUGAUCGACUGUGUAAACAACUAGAGAAGAUUGGACAGCAGGUCGACAGAGAACCUGGAGAUGUAGCUACUCCACCACGGAAGAGAAAGAAGAUAGUGGUUGAAGCCCCAGCAAAGGAAAUGGAGAAGGUAGAGGAGAUGCCACAUAAACCACAGAAAGAUGAAGAUCUGACACAGGAUUAUGAAGAAUGGAAAAGAAAAAUUUUGGAAAAUGCUGCCAGUGCUCAAAAGGCUACAGCAGAGUGAUUUCAGCUUCCAAACUGGUAUACAUUCCAAACUGAUAGUACAUUGCCAUCUCCAGGAAGACUUGACGGCUUUGGGAUUUUGUUUAAACUUUUAUAAUAAGGAUCCUAAGACUGUUGCCUUUAAAUAGCAAAGCAGCCUACCUGGAGGCUAAGUCUGGGCAGUGGGCUGGCCCCUGGUGUGAGCAUUAGACCAGCCACAGUGCCUGAUUGGUAUAGCCUUAUGUGCUUUCCUACAAAAUGGAAUUGGAGGCCGGGCGCAGUGGCUCACGCCUGUAAUCCCAGCACUUUGGGAGGCCAAGGUGGGUGGAUCACCUGAGGUCAGGAGCUCGAGACCAGCCUGGCCAACAUGGUGAAACCCCAUCUCUACUAAAAAUACAAAAAUUAGCCAGGUGUGAUGGUGCAUGCCUGUAAUCCCAGCUCCUCAGUAGGCUGAGACAGGAGCAUCACUUGAACGUGGGAGGCAGAGGUUGCAGUGAGCCGAGAUUGCACCACCGCACUCCAGCCUGGGUGACAGAGCGAGACUUAUCUCAUAAAUAAAUAGAUAGAUACUCCAGCCUGGGUGACAGAGCGAGACUUAUAGAUAGAUAGAUAGAUAGAUGGAUAGAUAGAUAGAUAGAUAGAUAGAUAGAUAAACGGAAUUGGAGCCAUUUUGCUUUAAGUGAAUGGCAGUCCCUUGUCUUAUUCAGAAUAUAAAAUUCAGUCUGAAUGGCAUCUUACAGAUUUUACUUCAAUUUUUGUGUACGGUAUUUUUUAUUUGACUAAAUCAAUAUAUUGUACAGCCUAAGUUAAUAAAUGUUAUUUAUAUAUGCA